rnacentral:rRNA from 1 species
UACGGAGGGUGCAAGCGUUAUCCGGAUUCACUGGGUUUAAAGGGUGCGUAGGCGGGUUGGUAAGUCCGUGGUGAAAUCUCCAAGCUUAACUUGGAAACUGCCGUGGAUACUAUCAAUCUUGAAUAUCGUGGAGGUAAGCGGAAUAUGUCAUGUAGCGGUGAAAUGCUUAGAUAUGACAUAGGACACCAAUUGCGUAGGCAGCUUACUACACGAUCAUUGACGCUGAGGCACGAAAGCGUGGGGAGCAAACAGG